GGUCUCAUAGCUCAAUGGUUAUAGUGCUGGUCUUGUAAACCAGGGCUCGCAAGUUCAAUUCUUGCUGGCGCCU